rnacentral:rRNA from 1 species
GACGAACGCUGGCGGCGUGCUUAACACAUGCAAGUCGAACGGAAAGGCCCUGCUUUUGUGGGGUGCUCGAGUGGCGAACGGGUGAGUAACACGUGAGUAACCUGCCCUUGACUUUGGGAUAACUUCAGGAAACUGGGGCUAAUACCGGAUAGGAGCUCCUGCUGCAUGGUGGGGGUUGGAAAGUUUCGGCGGUUGGGGAUGGACUCGCGGCUUAUCAGCUUGUUGGUGGGGUAGUGGCUUACCAAGGCUUUGACGGGUAGCCGGCCUGAGAGGGUGACCGGCACCAUUGGACUGAGAUACGGCCCAGACUCCUACGGGAGGCAGCAGUGGGGAAUAUUGCACAAUGGGCGGAAGCCUGAUGCAGCAACGCCGCGUGCGGGAUGACGGCCUUCGGGUUGUAAACCGCUUUCGCCUGUGACGAAGCGUGAGUGACGGUAAUGGGUAAAGAAGCACCGGCUAACUACGUG